rnacentral:rRNA from 1 species
AAAAACAUGUUCUUUUGUUUAAAUAAAAGAUUUAACCUGCCCAAUGAAUUUUUAAUGGCUGCAGUAUUUUGACUGUACAAAGGUAGCAUAAUCAUUUGUCCUUUAAUUGAGGUCUGGAAUGAAUGGUUUGAUGAAAAAAAUUCUUUCUUUAUUUUUUUAUAAAAAUUUAAUUUUUAAGUUAAAAAGCUUAAAUAUUUUUGUGGGACGAGAAGACCCUAUAGAACUUUAUUUAUAAAUUAUAUAAUUGCUAUGGGAAAUGAUUUAUUUAUAUAUAUAUUAAAUUGUGUUGGGGUGACAAAAAAAAUUCUAAAACUUUUUUUAUUUUUUACAUAUAUCUAUGUAUAUUUGAUCCUUUUUUAGGAAAAAAGAUCAAGUUACCUUAGGGAUAACAGCGUUAUUAUCUUGGAGAGUUCUUAUCAAUAAGAUAGUUUGCGACCUCGAUGUUGGAUUAAAAUAAGAUAUAGGGGUAUAAUAUUAUAUUCUGGGUCUGUUCGACCUUUAAAUUUUUACAUGAUCUGAGU